GUGGGGGGCCAGCGCCGGGGCUACGACAGCCGCGUUUACGGGGGGCAGCAGCAGCCGCAGUACUGGGGGCAGCCCGGGAGCCGCGGGGGCUACCGGAACUUCUACGAGCGCUACCGGGGCUACGACGAUCGGUUCUACGGCCGCGACUACGACUACAACAGAUACCGCGACUACUACCGGCAGUACAACCGCGAGUGGCAGAACUACUACCAGGACAGGGACCGGUACUACAGGAACUACUACGGUUACCAGGGCUACCGGUGAACCCCGGCCCAUCCCAAACAAAAUUCCCGGAAAAGUUUUUGGGGAGAGGUGGGGGAGGGGC